ACAAGUCGAAACAAAGUAGAUUCAUCGGAAGAUGAAUCUAAGGUUAUUUAUUAAUAAGGAUGAUAGUAAUUUAGUUACAUUAAAUUUUACCUUAUUAGGCAUUCUUUGUAAAGUUUUGAGCAAGGUUAAUUAUAAAGAAAUUAUUUAGUUUACCUUUUGUAUCAGGGGUUUUUAAAAGGUAGAAUAAGAUAAUUUUCUCGAACCAUAAUGAUUUAAAUUUAUGUUAGCAGUUGCAAUUGUUAGUGGUAUAAUUUUAGUAAUGAAAUGUUAUCGUAUUUUGUGUUAACUAGUUACUUGAAUAAUUUAUAUGUUAAAUUAAUUAUAAAUUAAUAUAAUAAAUAGGUUAAUCUUUUUAUUUAAUUAGACUAAUUAUUAUUAUAGUAUUAAUUAGGCUUAAUAGUAGCUAUAUUAAUAGAUUGUUAUAAAAAAUUAUUAUACUUAUAGUUAGAGUUUUUUAUUUUUAGGUUAUUUAAAAAACAAAUAAUUUAUAUAAAUUAUGAAUACAUUAGUACUAAUGUGGUAAUUAUUAUUUAACUCGAAAGUUAUUUGAUAGUUUAACAAAAACAUUUUUAUUAGAUAUUUAAUAAUAAGGCCUGCCCAGUGAUUAUUAAACGGCUGCAGUAUUUUGACUGUACUAAGGUAGCAUAAUCAUUUGUUUUUUAAUUGAAAACUGGAAUGAACGGUUUUACAAAUAAUUUAUAUGAUUAUGAAUUUAUAGUAAUUUAUAGUUCUUAUAAAAAUAUAAGAAUAAGCUAAAGGGACGAUAAGACCCUAAAAGCUUUUUUAUUAAUUAUUAUUAAAAGUAAUAUAAAUAAAUUUAGUUGGGGUAACAUAUUUAUUUAAAUUAUUUUAUUAAUUUACAUAUAUCUUUGGUUAUUAGAUCUUUUAUUUAAAGAAAAGUAGAGCUAGUUACUUUAGGGAUAACAGCGUAAUAAUUUUGGAAAGGCCUUAUUAAUAAAAUUGAUUACGACCUCGAUGUUGAAUUAAAAAUUUCUAUUUAUUGCAGAAGAUAAAUAAGAGGGUUUUUCAACCUUUAAUUUUUU
rnacentral:rRNA from 1 species